rnacentral:lncRNA from 1 species
GAAUAAUUCAAAGUCUGCUCUCCAGAAGUCCAAGGUAGCAGUUUUGCUGACUCCCCUCUCCUGACCUCACCAAGAAUAGAGAACUCCACAAUUUCAUGGUUGCUCUGUCCAAGACAGCUCCCGACAUUCACAUCUCCCAACAGUCUUUCUCUGCUCGUGAACAGCAGGUGUCUAGCAGGGUGUCAACGGUUUACAGCCUUUCGGCCCGGUUCCGUGACUAAGGGGACGGGGGAUCCACGGGCCCACGCCCCGGGAAAAGGGAAAAGGGGAAAAGGGUAAGGAGAUGGCCCUGAGAGCAAAGAACAGCGGCAACAAUCUGAGGAGAAACAAACUAAUUUACUAAAUAAGAUAUCGGAAUGCAAAACAACACAGUAUAAUACAAUAUAAUUACAAUUUAAGCUGAUAAAUCCAAUACAGAGAGAGAGAAUGUCCCAAAAUCAAGGUAGGCCUUACUCUACUACCGAUGAUAAGACAGCUGGAGAGCGAGGUGCUGCCAAGAUGAGAGACGGCGGAAAAGGGGACGAGGUCUCGUGAUCUGCAAGUUUUUAUACUGCGAGCUUUUAUCUUUUCCCUCCGGCUGGAAAAUGGUAACAGAGGAGCAAAGUGCCAUGGGGAAUGUAGUAGUCCUUCUCUUCUGAGAACCAGGUACAUUCACUGCAUGAUGUUAUGAUGUGGAGUACCAAUAACCGAAAAUCAUAAAACCAUGACACAGGGCAUCUCCCCUGGUAGGCCCUCUUACCUGCUGCUUUAGUUACUUGGAAAGAAGCUUUGAUUAGGCAGAAAGGUGGAGCAAGGCUGCAUGUCUCUGUGACAUGCAAGCAGGCAGAGGGGUGACCUGUAGACAGCAAAGCCCAAAAGCUGUGUUUAUGUGUGGCACUCUACAGGUUCCUGAAAGCUGAGAAUACAACACCUUUAAAUUAUCAGGUUUGUAUGUGGGUAACAAUUAAUGUUUGGGUCGGAGAUUCAUUCUUGUGUGACACUGAAACUCCAUUUUUUUUUCACAGGGUGUAAUGCCUUUGCAAUCCUUUUAGUUAAUGGUCAACCACAUCUGCACCCUUCUGUGUACAGUGCUGUGAAGACACAGAGUUUAAUUUCUCCACUGGAUCUUCAUCGUUUGUGAAACUACUGGAUCCCAGAGAUCUCCUGGAAGUGUCAUUGGUUGCUGGGAGGAAGAAUAAAUCAGCACAAGGAAAACGAGCUUUGGUGAUA